GACCGGACUAUGAACUCCUGGAAAGUUCUAUCAGGGCUCAGAACACGAGCUCACCACUUCCACCCGCCUAAACUUAGCUGUCACCCAGUCCUCCCUCCCCGCACACAGCAUGGCAUUGUUAAAAAUAAAAAUUAAAAGAUUGGCCAAAGGGUGAAAAGCAGGCAAUGCCUUUCAGGGCUGCCACGAUCCCUGUCUGGGAUUGGGGGAGGGGGAGGGGCAUUCUGGAUGUUUCUAUUCUUGGCAAGGAAGGCACCUCCAGGUCCUGAACCAUCAAAAGGCACUAACACAGUAACGCUACCGUUCUCGGGAAUGAAUGAUAUGUCUAAGCUAAGGAAUCUCCCAGCGGCGCAUGAUGAUGCGCAGGCGCUCAAGCUGUCUAAAGAAGUCGUGAUUGCCCGACCGGGUACCAACGUCCUUCACUAAGAAAACUCAAAACAUUUUAAACCUGGCAAGGUCUCACUCUACUAUACUCUUAAGUGAAAUAAAUCCAACAGACACACAUGUUUAAAUACCACAUUGUUUCUCUGGUGUGAGAAACCAAAAGUGGAAAUAAAGACUAAAAUGUACAAUUGAUAUUGGAAAAUGGUAAGAAAAUGUUGAAAUGGGAAGAGGAACAAGGGGGGAGAGAGGAAGGAAGGGAUAAGAAAAAAAGUGAAAAUAGAAGAAAAAAUGGAAACAAAGGUUUUGUACAUAGGGAGGGAAGGAGACUUGAAGGGGGGGUAAAAUAAAAUUAUUUUUUAAAAUAAAAAACAAAAUAAAGAAAAGAACAACAUUGCUUUGCAAGUCUAAAAAAUUUUUUUAAAUAAAAAGGUCUCACUCUAAUUCAGGAUGGUCUUGAACUCACUAUGUUUCCUAGACAGGCCUCAAACUCAUGAUGAUCCUCCUGCCUCAGCCUCCUGAGUGCUAGAAUUACAGGCUUACACCACCACAACCAGCUUUUGACAAUCUUGUAUCAGAUAUUAAUAUUAAACUUAUGAACAAUUUUUAAAAUUUGCCUCAUUUUGCCCAAAAUAUGUCAUUAUACAGUUAUUUCC
rnacentral:lncRNA from 1 species